rnacentral:rRNA from 1 species
AGGGCGGCAGGCUACACAUGCAGUCGAGCGGUAGCACAGAGAGCUUGCUCUCGGGUGACGAGCGGCGGACGGGUGAGUAAUGUCUGGGAAACUGCCUGAUGGAGGGGGAUAACUACUGGAAACGGUAGCUAAUACCGCAUAAUGUCGCAAGACCAAAGUGGGGGACCUUCGGGCCUCAUGCCAUCAGAUGUGCCCAGAUGGGAUUAGCUAGUAGGUGGGGUAACGGCUCACCUAGGCGACGAUCCCUAGCUGGUCUGAGAGGAUGACCAGCCACACUGGAACUGAGACACGGUCCAGACUCCUACGGGAGGCAGCAGUG